GGUCAAGUUAUUAAGGGCUUACGGUGGAUGCCUUGGGACCAAGGGCCGAUGAAGGGCGCGGCAAGGCUGCGUUAAGCCUCGAUGAGCCGUCUAGCAGGCAUAGUCGGGGAUACCCGAAUGGGGUAACCUAAUCCGGUGUUGAGUCGGAUUAUCCCGGUUUUGUAUCGGGAAGGUAAGCGGGGGAACUGAAACAUCUAAGUACCCCGAGGAAAAGAAAUCAACCGAGAUUCCCCUAGUAGUGGCGAACGAACGGGGAAUAGCCUAAACCAGUACGACUUAGUGGAGUGAGGUCCUAUGUCGUAUCGGGGUUGUAGGGCGCGUUUUAGGUCGCCUCGCCAGACCUGAAGGAGUUACAAAUCUUGUCUCUAGUCGAAGGCACCUGGGAAGGACCGUCAUAGAGGGUGAAAGCCCCGUAGACGAAAGGGACAAGACUCCUAGCGCAUACCCUGAGUACCACGGGGCACGGGAAACCUUGUGGGAAUCUGGGGGGACCACCCUCCAAGGCUAAAUACCCUUGGUCACCGAUAGCGUACCAGUACCGUGAGGGAAAGGUGAAAAGAACCCCUAGCGGGGAGUGAAAUAGAUCUGAAACCGUAAGCCUACAGAAGGUCGUAGCCUCUUCUUUUAUUAGAAGGGGUGGCGGCGUGCCUAUUGAAGAAUGAUCCAGGGACUUAAUGUGUGGAGCGAGGUUAAGGAACUGUAGUUCCGGAGCCGUAGCGAAAGCGAGUCUGAAUAGGGCGCUUAGUUCCAUAUAUUAGACUCGAAACCGGGUGAGCUACCCAUGGCCAGGUUGAAGGUUCGUUAACGCGAACUGGAGGACCGAACCCGUGGCUGGUACAAAAGCUUGGGAUGAGCUGUGGGUAGAGGUGAAAUGCCAAUCGAACUCGGAAAUAGCUAGUUCUCCCCGAAAUGCAUUUAGGUGCAGCCUCGGGAACUAGGUGGACGGAGGUAGGGCACUGAAUGGGCUAGGGGGCGUGAGCUUACCAAACCCAAUCAAACCACCAAUGCCGUCUAUCCGAUACCCGGGAGUGAGACUGCCACAGAUAAGUGCGGUAGUCGAAAGGGAAACAGCCCAGAUCACCGGCUAAGGCCCCCAAGUGCAAGCUAAGUGGCAAAGGAAGUGAGAUUCCCCAGACAACCAGGAGGUUGGCUUAGAAGCAGCCAUCCUUUAAAGAGUGCGUAACAGCCCACUGGUCGAGGGGUUUCGCGCCGAAAAUGUAACGGGGCUCAAGCUUGCCGCCGAAGCCGUGAAUGUUCAGGUACAGAGGCUAAAAUCUUGCUCCCAAUGGUGGAUCUACCGGGAAUCCAAUGAUCGGGAAACUCCGACUUCGGUUGGAGCGGAACGGCCAAAGGGCUCCCGGCGGUGAAUCYGGCGGGAAAAGGGUCAGAUCCUCUGAAUCAUGCCUGGGUAUGGUAGGGGAGCGUUCCUCGGGCGAUGAAGGUCAAUCGUGAGGCUGACUGGAGCGCGGGGAAGUGAGAAUCCUGGAAUGAGUAACGUAAACUAGGGUGAAAAUCCCUGGCGCCGAAAGCCCAAGGUUUCCUACGCAACGUUUAUCGGCGUAGGGUUAGUCGGUCCUAAGCCGUAGGCAAGAGCCGAAGGCGAUGGACAGCAGGUUAAUAUUCCUGCACCGCCGUUGUUUCGCUUUAAAACUAAGGAGGGGUGCGGAAGGGUAGGUAGGGCAUGCCUAUUGGACAUGGUGUGUUCUUCUCCGUAGGCCAAGAUGGGGCAGGCAAAUCCACUCCAUCGUUACGAGCCGAGAGAGGAGGGAAUCGAUCUUUCGAGAUACGAAACUCUGCUGAUCCCAAACCGACGAGAAAAGCUUCGUAGUUAUGGAGCAGGGGCGACCGUACCGCAAACCGCCACUGGUGGGCAAGGAUAAAAGUCCUAAGGCGUUCGAGCUAACCUCCGUUAAGGAACUAGACAAAAGAGCCCUGUAACUUUGGGAGAAAGGGCCCCCCGGKRGGUGAARCCACUWGCUGGUGRAGCGYUCUGGGGGCGCAGAGAAGAAGGCCGGGCGACUGUUUAACAAAAACACAGGUCUGUGCUAAGGGGAAACCCUACGUAUACAGGCUGACGCCUGCCCAGUGCCGGAAGGUUAAGGGGAGCGGUGAGAGCUGCGAACUGAAGCCCCGGUGAACGGCGGCCGUAACUCUAACGGUCAACCGGUUAGUCCAACCAGGCCCCGGCGCAAGCCUCGGCCUCAAAGGCUGACCAAGGCCGUUAUAAAAUCUGGCUAUAUGCUGGAAACUCCGAGUAUCCGGCGCUACCAAGUCAUCCUAAUCUGGGUUGAUCGGUAAUAAUGCGUCCGGUGCGGACAAUCAGCAGGAAAGGCCUCGGAGAAGAAACGCUAACCCAUGUCCAUGGGGAAGCGCGGACCUCCCUGGAAUCCUCAGAGACCAUACGCCAGACCCCUGUCGGAACGUGGGGAAGAUAUGGUCCGAUCUGUAUGGCGACAUGCAGAGGCCGGCAGAAAUGUCCGGCCCCGUCUAACUACCCCAUCCUAACCUCCCCCUUUAACAAGGGAUGGGACCAAUGGAGAAGUUUGAUGAGUAACAAAAUGCCUAAGGUAGCGAAGUCCCUUGUCGGGUAAGUUCCGACCCGCAUGAAUGGUUGAACGACUUGGCCAUUGUCUCGACGGAGGGCUCGGUGAAAUUGCGGUGCCCGUGAAGACGCGGGCGACCCGCGGCAGGACAAAAAGACCCCGUGGAGCUUUACUGUAGCCUGGUAUUGGGCUGGGAGCUGUCAUGUGUAGGAUAGGUGGGAGGCUAUGAAACCCCGACGCUAGUUGGGGUGGAGCCGCCGUUGAAAUACCACCCUUGGCUGUUUUUGGUUCUAACCUCAGCAAAACUGGGGGACAGUGCCUGGUGGGCAGUUUAACUGGGGCGGUUGCCUCCUAAAAUGUAACGGAGGCGCCCAAAGGUCCCCUCAGGACGGAUGGAAAUCGUCCUAAGAACGCAUUGGCAUAAGGGGGCUUGACUGUAAGACCUACAAGUCGAGCAGGGACGAAAGUCGGGCAAAGUGAUCCUACGGCACCGUGUGGAAGGGCCGUGGCUUAUCGGAUAAAAGCUACCCCGGGGAU
rnacentral:rRNA from 1 species